AUGCCAUGAUGAGGGUACUUUCGUAAUAACUCCUUGAACUGCUCCCAUGCCUCAUAUAAAGAUUCUUCAUCAAGUUGAUGAAGUGAUUUCAUUUCGGAUCAU
rfam:Gossypium hirsutum cultivar TM-1 chromosome 8, whole genome shotgun sequence